UACAGCCACAUCACGUUGAAAUGCCGGUAUUCGUACGAUCACAGAAGUUAAGCAACGUCGAGCGUGGACAGUAUUUAGAUGGGUGACCGCUUAGGAAUACUCAGUGCAGUA